CCAAAACAGAGGCCAAAAUGGUUCCAUUUCAACACCUAGUACCGCCUGCCUCGGACUCUCAAAGUGUUGAAUUACAGGCACCAGCCAGCGCGCCUGGCUCGAAUCUCAUUUUUCCAUCACUGAUCAGUAUUAAAAUUAUCAUGAUUUUUUAACUUGUGUUUUUUUGCCCCUUCCUCUAGAAUGUAAGCUCCAGGCAGGCAAGAACUUUAUCUUGUUCACUCGAAGCUGAAGCCCCAGCAUGUACAAUCCCGGGCUGGGUCGCUUACUCAUCAGCAGAGAGGAACACGGAUUCUCUUUGGAAAAGACAAACUACCCUCCCGGAGCCGCGGCACAGUCUCACUGAGGGCCUGCUCCCAUUCCAGUCAAAGGGCGACAAAAAGAAAAAACGUGAGCCACCAUCAGCCUCAGAGAAGGAGAGAGUGUCUGGCUUCCCCACCCUGGCGUUUCUGCAUCCUGAGAAACUCACUGCCUGUGGAAGCUCCAGGCCCCUCCCACCUUGUCAGACGCAGGUUCUGCUGGAAGGAGCCUCCAGCCUCUGGCUUUGCAGCCGAAGCUCAGAAUUGCCCGUGGGGGACCAGAAGUGUCAGAAUCAUUCACAGCAGGCACGCCCUCCUGCCUCCAAGAGAGUCACCAGCAGCUUCCUCCUCCACAGCUGUGAGUAAAUGAGAGGGUCCACUCCACCCAAUAGCUCAAAUCCCAGUUUCAGGAUUUGAUCUGUGGCUGAUCAGUCGAGGGACACAGGCCCAUUCCUGAGCCCAUCGCUGUGGCUGGAGAGAUGGGAGACACCGAUUGGUCUAAGCCAGUCAAGCCCUCUCAAGGCCAAAUCGCGUGGGCAAGAAAUUUAAGACAAGGAGAAGAAGAAGAAAGAGAAAAGAGAAUGUCAAGGAGACAAAUGGCAAAUGGAUACCCACUCCGUCCCUCCUACAAGGGAGAUAUAUUCCCCCCAUUUCAUGGAGGAGGAAACUGAUGAUCAGAGCGGCCAGGAAACAGGACGGUACCCUCCUGUACGUAGGCACAGGCCAAACGAGGUGCCCACAGUCUUAAUACUUCUUUCCCCAACCCACAGUUGUACCUCACUCUAGAAACCAAAGGAUACAAAUGGAGACCAGGCUCAUUUUUGCCCCUCAAACUGGCGAAGGUGAAUAAAAGCAUGUCUCUUGAUGCUGGGGAGUGUGGAGUCGGGGAGGUUGUUUACUCCUGCCUGGUAAUGUAGACAUUACCAUGAGCUUCCUGGAAGCAAGAGCUUCUA
rnacentral:lncRNA from 1 species